GGAGGUAGCCUCUUCUGGCUUCACAGAGGCAGAAGGCCUGCUCCUUUCCACAGGAAUCUGAUUCACCAACUAAUGACACAGAUCUGCAGGUUAUUUUCCCAAGAAGAUGUGGAGGAUAACACAACCCGGGGAUCCUUGAGGCCAAACCCUGACAUAUGUGAGGCAUUUGGGGUGAAGAGAUGAGCAAGGUUACUCUUAUUUCCGGAGCUGGCUUCUCUCAGGCCCGGAAGAUCCCUGAGGGUUCACAGAAGGAACGUGGUGGAGCCUGGGCCAGGGGCAUGCCCCACAAGCGGACAUGCCAUGUUUCCAGGGCUGGUGUGUCUCCAAGACCCAGGUCUGGGCCAAGAAGACUUUUCUGGCUCCCACAGCCCUCCAUGGCAGUUUCCUGCUCUGCUCCAAGCUCCUGUCACAACUUGUAUCUGCACAACCCAUUGGUCUUUUGGCAGCUCCAUUCAGUGGGUUUACAUUUAUUACACAGUAAGGUGAGUGCCUUGAGUUCAGAGACACAUCUUUGGUGCCUAAUAAAUGCUUGUGGAUGAUAUCAUA